CAAAGGAAAAAGAAAGUCAGCAACAUAAUUCAACACCAUGCACAGUCCACAGUCAAAUUUCACACACGAUUCAUCACCGGGAUGAUCAAGAACAAAAGGCAUACCAACAACAUGUCCAAAUCUUUCACUCCAUGAUCACUGCUAAGAAUUGUACAGUUAAAUAUUGUAUAUUACACAUUUUCCCAAAGUUGUGCAAUAUGUGUACGUGUAAUAUGUAAUGUCUCUUUGCCAUGUCGCCGUAUAACAAAAUCCUAAAAUUAGCACAGUUUUCCAUCGGCACUGUUAGAGAGGUGGGACAUCUAACGACAUUUGCGUUUCAAUCAAUUGUGUGGGGGAGGGGAAAAAUCUUGAUUUAAAAAAAAAAAAUCAUAAAGUGAAACUCAUAUGCCACAAAAUAAUGAUCUUGUCACAAUUACCUUACAAAUGUACUCAAUGUGAAAUUUGGGCAAGUUUAGUUAAACACUACGCUAUUAUUCUGUCGUAUGUAUUGUAUGUACAGUCUAGGUGUAGCUGGUGAAUAUUUUUUAGUCAAGCCGAUUGUUGCAUCGAUUAAUUGAGCAAGUGAAUAAAAAUGUGAUUUUUGUUAAACACAAAAUGAUGUGCAUUUGAGGUGCAGAUAUUUCUGCCCACUCAGGGUCACCAUUCACGCAUUUUGCUGUAGUCCACCAGCCUUUGAAUAGAAUACAAUACAAUACAAUACAUUAUUUACAUAGUGCAUUUCACAACAGCUGCAGCUGUAACAAAACACUUUACAUAGAACAGAUGACUGGCUUUACAAGGUGAGGCCGGGCCUGGUGAGUGACGUGGGCGUCAGAGAAUGAGAGUGGAGAGUAGCCUUGCCAACACAUAGUCAAUGUGUUGAAUGACUCAAUGUGAACUGUGGCUAUUGGGAGCGUGUGUAUGAAUGUGCGUGUGUCUCAUUAUUCUUUUCUUAUCAUUUGUUUAGUAAAGCGAUGGAAUGUGAAAUAGUGGCUAUGUCUAUCCUUCACGACUUUUGGGUUUAUCACAAUUGUGAUAUACAGUAUAUGUAUAUGACUGGCAGCUGGUGAAUAAACAGGUACCUUUUGUGCAUAAUGUAUUUUUGCACAGGACUGCAGAGACCUGACAUAUAAAGAAGAUGUGAGUACAAGAGCCCUGCGAUUGGCUGGCAACCAGUUCAGGGUGUCCCCCGCCUACUGCCCGAAGAUGGCUGGGAUAGGCUCCUUGGUAGCCUUCCUGAUCAAUGUUUCAUCCAUUUUAGAGAUGCUCAGUUCUUGGUAAUGUCACUGUCGUGCCAUAUUUUCUCCAAGUGAUGACUCUCAUUUUUUUGUGCUUUUCAUAUACCACCCCCC